AUCUUACCUUUUAGAAAUGGCCAUUGACAUCGUUCACCAUUCACCAGCCACAUUUAACAUUGAAAACAGACGUUCUGAUUUGAGAUUUCAACACCUGCAAUCGCCAUUUUCAAGACCUUUAGAUCAGAUCUCUCCUCAUUCAUCUCCUUCUUCCUGGUUCUUCUUGCAUUCUUUCUGCAUAUUCCUGCUCAUUUCUUCAAUUCUUUCCUCAGAUUCUUCUCAGAAAAGCUUAAACACGCGAGGGUUGAAUCUAUUGAGACUGGAAGUCAAGAAGUGGUGGUUGUCAUAGAGAGCCAUUUUUUUCCAAGAUGGUGUGACAUAGUGGUACUGUCCCAGUUGAUAAUCCUUUAAUAUAUGCAAAUUCAAGUGCUCAAUACACUGGUUUCAAAUUGUCUUCACUUGAACUGGGUCAGAUAGUAUAAACUGGCAUUUUGAGGAGGAGAUAAACUGAUAUAUAAAGUGACAGCGGACAAGUAUGCAGUCUAAUGGUGGGGAGACUGAGGCCCAUUUCCCUAUUCAUGUCGACGGAAUUGGAAGUGAGAAAUAUGAACCUUUAAGUAUUGAGAACAAACUUGGGAGGCAUUUUAAUGGCGAUGACCGUGAACCCUUUCACAGUGAUCAUUAUAAUUCACUGCAGCUAGAUACAAAGAAUCCUCUAUCCGCUGCCAAUGUGCUAAAGACAUUAUUCUUUGUUCUUGUCUGGUAUACUUUCAGCCUUCUUUUGACCUUAUAUAAUAAAUCUUUAUUAGGAGAUCAUUUGGGUAGGUUCCCGGCUCCAUUGCUCAUGAAUACUGUUCAUUUUACCAUGCAAGCUGUUCUAUCCAAUUUGAUCACAUGGAUUUGGUCUAGUCGAUUCCAACCUUGUGUUACUAUGACAUGGAGGGAUUACUUCAUUAAAGUUGUCCCAACGGCUCUUGGAACAGCCUUGGAUGUCAAUCUAAGCAAUGCAUCCCUUGUGUCGAUAUCAGUCACAUUUGCUACCAUGUGUAAAUCCGGUUCUCCUAUAUUUCUUCUCCUGUUUGCUUUUGCUUUCAGGUUGGAGGCUCCUAGUUUCAGACUUUCUGGCAUCAUCUUGAUUAUAUCUGUUGGAAUUUUAUUAACAGUUGCAAAGGAGACAGAAUUUGAAUUCUGGGGUUUCAUUUUUGUUAUGCUUGCUUCUGUUAUGUCUGGCUUCAGGUGGUCCAUGACGCAAAUUCUUCUUCAGCGAGAAGCAUAUGGUCUGAAAAAUCCUUUUACCCUUAUGAGCUAUGUGACACCAGUGAUGGCUAUUGUGACUUUGAUGCUAUCCCUUGGUUUAGAUCCGUGGAGAGAAUUUACGAGUAAUGGAUAUUUCAAUAGUAUCUGGCAUGUUACUCGGAGUUGCUUGCUGAUGCUUUUUGGUGGAGCACUUGCCUUCUGUAUGGUAUUAACAGAAUAUAUCCUCGUCUCUGUAACUAGUGCUGUCACAGUUACGGUUGCUGGUGUUGUAAAGGAGGCUGUAACUAUACUGGUUGCAGUAUUUUAUUUCCACGAUAAAUUUACCUGGCUAAAAGGGUUUGGUCUCAUCAUAAUUAUGAUUGGGGUCAGUUUGUUCAAUUGGUACAAAUACAAAAAGCUACAGAUGAAAUCUAGUGAAGAUAAAGUGGUAAGCUCACAGUCAACAAAUGUUGCUAGCAAAUAUGUAAUUCUUGAGGAGACUGAUGAGGAAGACGGCCAACGUUGAUUGCCAAAUUACAUUGUCUGAAUCCUAGUCAAUUCCAAUAAUCUCUAAGUUGAUCCCAUUUUAGGAGUGAAUGGCAACAUGUGCUGCCUUUUGUGUAUCAGAUAAAAAGUUUUCGCUGGGAGGAGCAUUUAUAUAUGAAAUCUUUGCAUUCUAAAAUUUAGAAAAUCGGGCCACGGUAAUUUUGAACAGAUUUAACCGGACGUUUUGUAUUAUUGCUAUUGAAGUAAUUUUUUGUACGGUCUCUAGUCGCCGAUCACAUUCAAAUAUCAUGCCAGUAUCCUUAUGGCUCAACUCUUUGGAUUUAACCUCGAAAAAUUGUAAUCAAUUUUGUAGUGAACUCGGACAAAUUUGUGUUGCUCCUAUUGUUUUAUGCGGUUUCAAAGGAUUACUUACUGCCUUUUGAGUGGAUCUUCUACUCAAGCUUUGUAUUCUAGAGGUAUCCAUAUUAUUCUAUUUUCUUCCAUUCAUGAAUCUCAACCAUGAAGACAUCUCAAAACCUCUUAUUGUUAUGAUUAUUAUUAUUUUAUUUUUAUUGUUCUUUCACUGUGAGGAUUUUCAAUGUAGAGAGUUACAAUUAUUGAAACAAGAUCAUUAUACAA